ensembl:lncRNA
ACUGUCACCUGACCGUGCUGGCAACCUGCUUUAGGUCUUCCUCCAGAACUGUGAGCAAUAAAUAUUUGUUAUUCAUAAAGCAUCCAGUCUGGGGUAUUUUGUGAUAGCACUCCAAAAGGACUAAAACAACUUCUCAGCAAACAAAAACAUUGUACUAUAUGAACAUCUCUAUCAGGAAGAGCAGGGGAAACCGUUUGGGUUCCAAACAAUCUUCUUCUUCUUCUUUUUUUUUUUUUUUACAUUUUAUUUAUUUUUGAGAGAGAGAAAGAGAGACAGAGCACAAGUGAGGGAGGGGCAGAGAGAGAGGGGGACACAGAAUCUGAAGCAGGCUCCAGGCUCUGAGCUGUCAGCACAGAGUCCGACGCGAGGCUGGAACUCACAAACGGUGAGAUCAUGACCUGAGCUGAAGUCGGAUGCCACCCAAGCACCUCACCAACAAUCUUCUUGAUGCCAAUCGGUUCACCACUCCACCUCAGCAAGAAAGAGUAUACUGCCUUCCAGACUGGAACAAUCUCCACAAAAUCUUGUUCAUCCGUGCAGCACACUUCUGCAUGCCUGACUGGGACAGGACAAGGCUGAGAGGAGAAAGGAGGGAGGACCAUCACACUGUCUUUCCAGAGAAAGCAGAAACAUGCAGUGAAGACACGUGUUGGAGAGGAGGACCCUGUCUUCUCCAAGUGAGAGACAGAAGACAAAGCAACAAAAGACAACAAUAAGAAACUAACAAAACAGCAAGCGGCUAAAAAUUCAGGCAGAGGAACUUGUAGAAUCUUUCCUGCGAAGGGGCUGGCAUCGUGAAGAACAGGAAUAUUUAAAACAUGGCAUAAAUUCUCAACAGUGUUCCUUAGAUUAUUGUGUAAUUUCUUUUUUUUUUUUACAGUUACAAGUUUCUCAUUUAGAAAACACUAUGCAAAUAUAUACAAAAGCAAUAUUGUACUUUUCUUUUUGUUUAUUUGUCCUGAGACUAACUUAUAAUAUUGUACUUUCACAACUACCAGCAAAAUUGAAUCCAAACUGUUAACAGUACAAAAAUUCAAAAUGUAUUAAUUGUCCAAUAUUGCAGAUACCUAUUUACAUGUUUACGUGUGUAUCUUUAGACUAUUAUUUUUGAGUCUUGUUCUCAUAAUCUUCAAUACUUUGACAUUUGCACACUAAGAAUUGAUUUGGGUGAAAUUUGACCUCUCCUCUAUUAGGAAAUAGUCAUUUUUAGUCAUUGCCAUGUAUGAAAGAAAAACGCCAAAACCUUGGCCAUGUUGAGUGCCAUCUACGCUUCAGAGGCACUGUUUAUAUCAACCUUACAACAAUCCCUUCUCACAGACGUGAAGUCCCCAUGUAUACAAGGCCUGCCCCUGUGCUGGCUUUAUGAUGGCGUUUGAUAAAUAUUUGCUGAUCUGCUGAAGAAACCAAGGCUGAGGGAUUAUACAAUUCAUCCCAGUUAUCUGCAAUUCAAAACCCAGGUUUCUGAUCCCAAAUCCCUGCCUUUGCACUCUCUAGAGCUCCUUCUUUCACCAUCAAAAUGUGCGCCAAGUAUUGAGCCAGAGUGCAUUUAAAAGUAAUGGAAUCUUGUGCAGAGUUCUUUAUGAAGGUACUAUCUACAAGAGAAGCAAGCUGAUUUUUAUAUAGGACCUAUGAAUUUAUCUCUGGCGUUGGCUGUAGAAUUCAGCAAUCACAACUCCCCACCCCAGAAAAUCAAUAAAUAACUGGCCAAACAGGCUACA